rnacentral:rRNA from 1 species
GGCCUCUUGUUUAUUUUGGAGGUCAGGCCUGCCCAGUGAUAAUUUUAACGGCCGCGGUAUUCUGACCGUGCAAAGGUAGCAUAAUCAUUAGUCUUUUAAUAGAAGGCUGGAAUGAAAGGUUUAACGAAACAUUAACUGUCUCAUUUUUAUUUUUUGAACUUAAUUUUUGAGUUAGAAAGCUUAAAUUUUUUUGUAGGACGAGAAGACCCUAUAGAGCUUGACAUUUAAUUUUUAAUGUUAUUUAGUUUAUUUAUUUAUAUUAUUUUGUGGAUGUUUGGUUGGGGUGACAGAAAAUAUAUAAUUAACUUUUUUGUUUUAUACACAUAUAUUUAUGGGUUUGUGAUCCUUUAUUAUUGAUUGUUAGAUAAAGUUACCUUAGGGAUAACAGCGUAAUCUUCUUUUGGAGUUCUUAUUUACAAGAAGGGUUGCGACCUCGAUGUUGGAUUAAGAUAAUGAUUUGGUGCAGUAGCUAAAUUAAUAGGUCUGUUCGACCUUUAAACUCUUACAUGAUCUGAGUUCAGACCGG